rnacentral:rRNA from 1 species
UACGGGGGGUGCAAGCGUUAUUCGGAAUGACUGGGCGUAAAGCGCGCGUAGGCCGCUUACUAAGUCUGGUGUGAAAGCCCUAAACUCAAUUUAGGAAGUGCAUUGGAUACUGGUGAGCUGGAGUAUAGGAGGGGAGAGCGGAAUUCCUGGUGUAGAGGUGAAAUUCGUAGAUAUCAGGAGGAACAACAGUGGCGAAGGCGGCUCUCUGGACUAUAACUGACGCUGAGGCGCGAAAGCGUGGGGAGCAAACAGG